rnacentral:tRNA from 1 species
GCGUUUCAGGAAAGGUCAAGGCAACAGACUACGAAUCUGUAGGUCGCCCGUUCGAAUCGGGCGGGGCGCACCA